CAGCCGCCGCGGUAAUACGUAGGUGGCAAGCGCUGUCCGGAAUUAUUGGGCGUAAAGGGCUCGCAGGCGGUUUCUUAAGUCUGAUGUUAAAGCCCCCGGCUCAACCGGGGAGGGUCAUUGGAAACUGGGAAACUUGAGUGCAGAAGAGGAGAGUGGAAUUCCACGUGUAGCGGUGAAAUGCGUAGAGAUGUGGAGGAACACCAGUGGCGAAGGCGACUCUCUGGUCUGUAACUGGCGCUGAGGAGCGAAAGCGUGGGGAGCGAACAGGAUUAGAUACCCCCGUAGUCCCUGUCUCUUAUAC
rnacentral:rRNA from 1 species